rnacentral:rRNA from 1 species
UACGAAGGGGGCUAGCGUUGUUCGGAUUUAUUGGGCGUAAAGAGCGUGUAGGCGGCCAAGCAGGUCCGUUGUGAAAACUGGAGGCUUAACCUCCAGACGUCGACGGAAACCGCGUGGCUAGAGUCCGGAAGAGGAGAGUGGAAUUCCUGGUGUAGCGGUGAAAUGCGCAGAUAUCAGGAAGAACACCAAUGGCGAAGGCAGCUCUCUGGGACGGUACUGACGCUAAGACGCGAAAGCGUGGGGAGCGAACAGG